AACGCUUGUAGCUAAUAGCUGUAAACUCACAAAUGGACUAUUACUUUUUACAGCCUUUUAGCAGACUCAGCCUAAUGGAGCAAAACUGUUAACAAAUUAAGAUGCAUUUGACAGGGCUUCAAGCAGGAAUCAUAACCCAGGAGUCACUGUUUGGAACUUGGAGGGAAAGAUCUCGGCAGAACCUGCAUGCACCUCGGCCGGCGGCAACAGCGAAACAGAUAAGGCAACAGUUUCUUGGUCUUCUCUGAGAUUUUCAGAGCAAGGAACUGAGUUACUUUAAUUUUAGCAACAAGCUUGUCACAUCUGGAGUGCUGCCAGAUACAAAAUAAUAGUAAGGAUAGCUAACGAAAAUAUAAGGGGCCUUUAGGUGGACAAAUAGAACUUGCGGCAGUGUAAAUAUCUCGGGCAUUGUAAGAUGCUGAAGCCACAGGAACAUCUGAUCUGCGGGCAGUCUUUAAGCCAUGGACAAAACAUAUCAGCACAGGCAUGGGGCUUGUGGCGUUGGCCGCCUGAGCAAGAAACAAGCUGGCAGUAAGGAUGGCUGUAAGGACUGCCAGAUGUGUUCAGAAUGAGGUGCCUGCUCUAGCAGGCGCCCUGCGGCAGCCCGACGCUGCAUGGGCCUUCUGGGGGAAGCACGUGCCUUUGGCUGCUGUUUUUUCAGUGCUGAAGUGGAGGUGGCUUGGCCAGGUCUGGAUGUGUGCCGGAGCUAACGUAGAGCAGCUGCGUGCCUCAGAGCUUUCUGGCUUUCCAACUCCAGCUUUCAACCCUAUGAUUCUGCUUCUUCUUGGGGAUUUUUGUAGUGUUUAAUCUCUUUUACCUCCAUCUUAAAGCAAAUCUUCUGAUCUCCUCUAGCCUUUUGCUUGUUUUGGAGCUGGCUGAUGGGGUGCUUGCAUGUGACAUUGCUUUAUUCUUCACUUAACUUCUGUACAACUCAGCACUGUAUCUGGUAGUAAGACAGAGAUGUGACAUAAGCCUUGAAACCUCGUCAUGAGCCGUAGACCACGGGGGAGAGGGGAAAGGGGGGGGGAGGUUCUCCUGCAUGUUCUUAUUAUGGGAGCUUGUUGACUGUAAGUAGCAGCACAUCAGGCACCCGCAUAUGCUCUUGGUAGGGAGGUCAGCCUAUGGCACCAGCUCCCCAGUUGCUGUGCUAAUCACUAACUCACAAAGCCCAGGCAAUAACAUUCAGACUUACCUUUAUUCAUUUUUAUCCUGUUUUAAAACUUCUCCUCCCUAGGCUUGCUAAAACCUCCUUCAGUGUCACGUGAAGACUUGUUCUUCUAAUACCUUGUCAUAUUCCACUACGAACAUUCAAUGUUACAAUUUCAGCAUAAUGAUAUUUUCCCCAUAGCUGUAAAAUGUGUCUAGAUCAAUAGCUUAUUAAAAGAGUGUAAUAAAAAUUAUGACCCUGCAAUUCUGCUAUUAGUAUAACAAUAUAGAGCCAAGAAAACUCCCUGAUCCUUCUUACGCAUCUGCUGUAGCAUGAUACAAGAGCAGAACAUCUUAAGUCAGUUUAAUCCCUUCUUUUCAUCCCCUAGCAAUAUGUGUUGGCCCAUGAGAGUAACAUGAACUAAAAGUUUAAUUUAUUAAUAUGCGAUAGUGAUAAUGUCAAAAGAACAAUAUAUAAAAACCCACACAGAAAAGGAUUAUGCAGUGCAGAGCGGAAAGCCUAGAGCUAAUAUUUAAUAAUCUAAAACAGAGCCAAAAAUAACUUCUCAUCCAAGGAGCAAAAGCGGGAGAAGUGUGCAAGGGAUGGAGACGCAGAGCCCAGCGAGCAGCCUCGCGCCAGAGCCACUCCUGUCGGAACCUGUGGAGAUCAGAGGCUGAGGGAGACGGCUGCUGGGGCAGUGACCAAAGGCCCCAGCUGUCAGAUUGUCAGCCUUAGGCUCUCACGGCUCCAACUGAACUGCACGCAGGAAUCCAAGCAGCAGGCACAAGUGGCACACGUGGAGAGCAAGCCAUGUCCAGCGCGCAGUGAGCGGGGAGCCUUGUGGCUCAGCAUUUCAGUAAGCGAAGCGUGAAGCCAACUGUUCACUUCAGCUAAAUUGUUCACUUAAGCUUGGAUGAUUAAACUUUCACCAGCAGCCAAUAUAACCUGCAGCCUUAGGAGGCAUACAGACACAUUAGCGUUUCAUGAGCUUCGCCUUAAAUGAGCAAUUUGCCUUAUAGUCUUAAACCAGUAACAUUCUUGGGAGUGGAAAAUGUUUCAGCCUCCAAGGGGCUGGCAGGUUUCAAACACUUUCUACUUUGCUUUCUUGCCACUUCCCUAAAAGGAAGAACAGGGGAGGAGGGAACAGACGUGGAGGAAUAAAUCCCACUACUUUCCCAGCAUUACUAAGCGUGCAAUGUGCAGCCCCUAUCAGAAGGGCAGAACUUGCUCAAGGAAAUCUGGAUUUGCAAGGGGAAGGUCUGCAGAGGGCUCUGCAUGCGGGGUGUGGGACAGGUCCCAGUGUGGCUGCAGCUGGCCUUUGGCCUUGGUUCAGGUUCCGAUCAAGGUGUGAACUCCAGACCAAAAUGACAUCUGGGACUCCUCCUGAAUGAUGCUAAUGGUGAAGCUGAAAAUACAGAUAUAAAUGUUGGUAAGGAUUGGACUCCUAGGCCCUGGCAAAACGCUGGAUCUUAGACCAGAGGAAGAAUGGCACAUCCUCAGGUUGAGGAGCUAGUGCUGGGCGCUAUGCAGAGAGCAUUUGUCUCAUGGUUGUCUAUGAAGUCAUGUUCCAUGACCUCAUGGAUCAGAGGAACGUGAGGCUGGAGGCAGAUAAGUUAGGAGAGGUAACGAGAAGAGCAGGAUGUUCCAAGCACUGCUGUGAAGUACCUCCUGGGAUCCGAGCCCACUUCUAUGCGUGCAGCUCUGCAGCUGACACCGGGUUCAAGCUGCUGCCUGCCUAUGUGCUGCUGGGAAGGGCUUUGUUCAGCGUGUCCCCAUUCCUCAGCAGCACCCCAGCUCCCACCGCAUCAGGGAACUGACCUCACUUCUUUGCGUACGCUUUUCCCCUGCCUUCCAGAGGGUCAGCCUCCUGCUGUUGUCCACCUCACAAUAAGUGCUUGGCUGAACAGUCUGCUGGCAGGUGAGGGAUGUGAAAACAUGGAGGAUGCUUCAGGAAAAAUGGUAGAAGAACAGAGCUAGGAGUAAUAAAAUGAAGUUGAAAAAGGAAGAGUGGCCUGAAAAGUGUGCUGGAAGGUCUGCUACGCUGAGGCAUAGCCUUUUGGGAUAAAUGUGAGCCUUCCUACGAAACCAUUCAUAAAUUAUGUGAUCUGUUUGCUUUUAAAAGCUUCGUAGCAGAGGCAGCCGUCAACUCACCUGUUAGCUCCCAGUGCUUCAUUCUUGCCAGGGCCCCUGUGACAAGGCUUCCUUACACUGACAAGUUAAGUCUGGUUCCCCGCAUGAUCUGUGCCAGAAAGGCUUGCUCCGUGGGGCUCAUUCACCAGAAAUUUGACAAAAAUAUUUCUUGCUCGAAAGGCAAGCUCUCUUAUUUGAACAUUGAUGCUAUAUAUUUGUAUCCUGGACUUGAACUGAAUUUUAAGAAGUGCCCAAAGUGAGUGCCAAAAUCUAGUUUAAUUUUUGAAAGUGACUUGGGCAUCUCAGCCCAUGUGAUUGUGGGUCCAUUUAAAUUCUGGGCAAGGUCUGGGUCACACAUUCCUCCAGCCAGGCUUGGCUCCCUGGUGGUAACUGGAUCCAGAGCUUUGUGCUGAAGCUCUCCAGUGUGAGCUGAGAAGGAAGAACACCCACGUGGACUCUGUUGAUAAAAACCUUUGGGUCCUUGAGUGAGAUAAUUAAGUAACGUGAGGGAGGUUUGUGGAAAAGCAUAUUUGACAUUUGUUUUUUACUGACAAAGAACACAAAAAUGAUGCAGGUAACAUGAAAAUUAAAGUUUUAUCUGCUGGCUUUCCUAAGCAAGGCACACAAUGCUUUUUUUCCACUCCACGAUUUGAGAAAACAUUGAUUUGAUCCAUUGGAGUGAUGAAUGCCCACAGAAUAAACCCUUUUUUUUCUCCUGGAAUGAUGACCUUGUGCAGAUUAGAGCAGCUAGGUAAGAAAUCCAGCAAGUAUUUAUCAAAGGCUUCUACGACAGUGCAAACUCUAGCGAGUUCAAAAGCAAGAGACUUUUCGUCUUCAUACAACUCACAGGGUUAUAACAUUUCAAGAAUGCCAGGAAUCCAUGCGGCUGUUCCAUUAAACACCUCUGAUUAGUGAAUGUGCUGAUAAACUUUGAGAGUCAGAGGUCAGAACUGUGGAGCCGAAGGUACCCCAGGUAUCUGAAAAUGUCUCCAGGAUUCCUGGUCCUCUUUCCCAGUUAACCCCUUCCAUCACUUCACCCAUGGAGGCCUAAAGUGGAGCUUCUCUGACGCAGUAUCUCCCAGAUAGUUCUGCAGAGAUGUUAAGAGUUAUUUUGAAAACUGUGGAAAAAUGACCUCAGGAGCCUCCUAUAGAAAUGUUCUCGACAGCUGGCUGCUCUUUGAUUUCAGCUGCAGCUCCUAGUUAAUAUAUGUGCAGAAUGCUGUGUUGCCACUGGCUCAUCCAGCCUCUCUCUCAUCAGCUUCAGGUGAUACAAUGAUGGCAGCAGGCUGUGCAUUAAAAUACCUCUGGAGCUAUCAAAUUGCAAAGAGGAAUGCAAUUUCAAAAUACUCAGACAGGAGCAGUCGCACCACCCUGUCACCGUGUAAAGCUCUCUGCUUUGUUCAGAUUUCGUCCUAAGAGCUACAGCUCUACUCCCACCGAGUGCCUGUAACAAGCAAUUGGGAAAUCCAGCAAACACGGACUCUGUGCCCGACUGUCACUUUGCAGGACGUUGGUUUAUCAGGAGGAUCCCAGGAAGCUGAGUUAUCCCAACAGCGUCCCAGACCAUUUUUCAGGCCAUUGCCCUAACAUGCUAGCCCAUCCUGAUGCAGUGCGGGUUGCUUUUGUCUCUGUCUCCCAGAAGGCAGCUUGGGGCUCCCAGUCCAACCACUCCUGCAAUAUAUGGCUUGUCGUUCCAUGCUCCAGUUAUGAGCUGCUGGAGGUACUGAGGAUUCAUCUCCUCCACCGAGGGCCAAAGUGUGACCCCAUCAGUUUCUUUGAAAAUCAAUAGGAAAAUGCCGAGGAAUGCAAAGGAAGUAGAAACAGUCAAAGUAAAGACAAGUGAUGUCCUGUAAUGGCCAUAAUGAUUCUGAAACACGCAAGGUCACAGAUAAUUAGGAACCUAAUUCUCCUUUGAAAGAAUCUGUCAAGUUACUUCCCAACCUCAAAAACCAUUGCUGAUUGAUGUUAUUUCUGGGCUAACAAACUCAUUGAAGGUAGUCUGAAUGGGAGGUGUAUGGCCCUUACUAUCCAGGUGGGGUUAGGUAGUCACAGCUGGAGAAUAAAACUAAAGCUGGAGAGUAAAAGAAGUUUUCUUUGCCAUAGUAAUGGUCUUAAUAGGACGUGAUUCAUGAAGGUUCCAGCUCCUUCCUCUCUACAACAUU